rfam:Myotis davidii contig87417, whole genome shotgun sequence.
GGCGGUUCUCAGGUGACGCACCCUGGAAUUGGGCUCCCUCCUCUCUGGUUCGGGGUGUAGCACUCAAGAACCACA